UAUAAGUGUGGCCAUGAGUUUCCGUGCUCAACUUUGACUGCCCGUCUUAUUUAAAAAAAAUUAUAUUCGUAUUUUUAUCAUUAUUAGAUGACAAAACAUGAAUAGUAACUUAUGUUUUUAUUUUUUUCAAAAAAAAUUCAAAUAAGAUAGACGAUCAAAGUUGGGCACAGAAAAUCAUGGAUGCACUUAAA
rfam:Oryza rufipogon genomic scaffold, chr01